rnacentral:rRNA from 1 species
UACGGGGGGGGCAAGCGUUGUUCGGAAUUACUGGGCGUAAAGGGCUCGUAGGCGGCCAGGUAAGUCAGACGUGAAAUCCCUCAGCUUAACUGGGGAACUGCGUGUGAUACUGGAUGGCUUGGAUUUGGGAGAGGGAUGCGGAAUUCCAGGUGUAGCGGUGAAAUGCGUAGAUAUCUGGAGGAACACCGGUGGCGAAGGCGGCAUCCUGGACCAAUACUGACACUGAAAAGCGAAAGCCAGGGGAGCAAACGGG